CAAGAAUAUGAUGAAACUGGGACACUGAGUGACAGCAGACGAAGGCAGAUGGUCAACGUUCUUACAGCACACAUGGUUGAGAGUGAAGGGAGAGUCCCUCAGCGAGUCACCAAAGAGAAUUAUGCACUUGGAAUUGUCACCUUGUUCCCUUCAUUAAGAGAUCCUUUCUCCAGCAAAUAAUAUGAACAUUUUUAUGAUGGACAAAGUGGCUCUGGAUUUCUGGCAUGGCGACUCAAGACGAUUCAAAGGAAGACUAAGUUCAUAUUUAAGGAACCAAAAACACAGACAGCAGUUGGAGGUGAUCCAGAACAGCAGAGAGACCUUCCUCAGAUUGAUGAUCAGCUGGAUGAAAGGCAUUGUGAAGAGGCCAUAUCCUUGAUGAACCACACCAAUGACA